UUAUACUUGAUUAUAUUCUAUUUUUGUCUUCAUCCAACCAGGCUCUACUAACUUAACUUGGAAUUUAAACACUAAUCACUUCCAUAUCAUGUCAUUGUCAUUGAUUUCAAUGACAAUGGUAAAUUUCUUUCUUUCUUUUUUUUUUUUAAAUGAACAAGGUAAUGAAUUAAUGAAUCUGGUGUGGUCUGUCCCAAUGUUUCUAGUUGGCAGCUGACACCUGUCCGGUAAUUCCGUCCAAGUCUCUCUGUCCCUGAGGUGUCAGCUUCCGUUCCCCAUCUGGGUCCUCCUCCACCAUCUUGAAGCCUUCCAGGGCUUGCAGGACCAUAACCCCAUUGCGCAGGCGCCCGCCAUAGAGCUUGCGCAGAGAUUCCACACCGGCACUGCCUCGGAGGCACAGGACCGGGGUGGCCUGGGUGUAGACCAAUUCUCAUCGUAGGCGGACCGUGUCCACCCAUUCAGGGCCUUUCGGCUUCCCUGGCUUUUUCAGGAAGGCGGCCAGGUCCCGGACGAACUCCUGCGGGUUCACGUCUUCACCACGACUCCGGGCACCGCGCGAGGUCCAAGCGGCCAGCCGGGGAGAGAGAGAAACGGGGCUUCCUAGCCGCACAAAAGGGGAACAAAACCUCGCGAGAGCCGCUAGUCCCGCCCACCAAUGACAAUUUAGGUCACAUUUGGCAUCCAGAAAAUUUUAGUGAAGCCCUACACUCCUGUGCAGAUUGUCAAAGAAUGUUACUUGCAUAACAUUCUGUGAAUAAGAUAUAGAAAAUGUUAUCUUCCAAGGAUAAUUUAAAUAGAAGACUCCACAACAAUUAUCCAAGAAUGCUUAACAUAUCAGAUGGUAUAAAGACCACCUCAUCCUGUGCAAUAUGGAACAAUCUGGAGGUAGGUAGUAUAUGAUACAAUUAUAUUAUUAUUUUUAGUAGACUAGAAAACAUUUGCCAGGAAUUUGAUUAGCUGCCCAAGUAAACUUUUUUUUAACCUGAAUUUCUUUUAAAAUCAGUUUUAUUAGUAUAUUAGAACCCUUAGA
rnacentral:lncRNA from 1 species